GGAGAGGUGGCUGAGUGGUCUAAAGCGGCACGGUGCUAACGUGUUGGGAGCAAUCCCGCGUGGGUUCGAAUCCCACCCUCUCCGCCA
rnacentral:tRNA from 1 species